GACGAACGCUGGCGGCGCGCUUAACACAUGCAAGUCGAACGGAAAGGCCUGCUUUCCCUUGUGGAUUGCGGGUACUCGAGUGGCGAACGGGUGAGUAACACGUGAGUGAUCUGCCCCCAACUUGGGUAUAAGCCUGGGAAACUGGGUCUAAUUCCCGAUAGGACUGCAGGGUGGUGCCUGUGGUGGAAAACGAUUUUCUAGUGGUUGGGGAUGAGCUCGCGGCCUAUCAGCUUGUUGGUGGGGUAAUGGCCUACCAAGGCGGCGACGGGUAGCCGGCCUGAGAGGGUGGACGGCCACAUUGGGACUGAGAUACGGCCCAGACUCCUACGGGAGGCAGCAGUGGGGAAUAUUGCACAAUGGGCGGAAGCCUGAUGCAGCGACGCCGCGUGGGGGAUGACGGCCUUCGGGUUGUAAACUCCUUUCGACCGCGAGGAAGCCACCUGGUUGGAAGGGUGGUGGCGGUAGUGGUAGAAGAAGCACCGGCUAACUACGUG
rnacentral:rRNA from 1 species